rnacentral:rRNA from 1 species
UAAGGAAUAUUGGACAAUGGAGGCAACUCUGAUCCAGCCAUGCCGCGUGAAGGAAUAAGGCCCUAUGGGUUGUAAACUUCUUUUAGACGGGACAAAACCCCUUUACGUGUAAAGGGUUGAUGGUACUGUCAGAAUAAGCAUCGGCUAACUUCGUGCCAGCAGCCGCGGUAAUACGAAGGAUGCAAGCGUAUCCGGAAUUAUUGGGUUUAAAGGGUGCGUAGGCGGACUAAUAAGUCAGUGGUGAAAGCCUGCAGCUUAACUGCAGAAUUGCCAUUGAUACUGUUAGUCUUGAGUACAGUUGAGGUAGGCGGAAUGUGUCAUGUAGCGGUGAAAUGCUUAGAUAUGACACAGAACACCGAUUGCGAAGGCAGCUUGCUAAGCUGUAACUGACGCUGAGGCACGAAAGCGUGGGGAGCAAACA